UGGAUUAAUUCGAUGCAACGCGAAAAACCUUACCUACCUUGACAUGUCCGGAAUCCUGCAGAGAUGCGGGAGUGCCGAAAGGGAAUCGGAACACAGGUGCUGCAUGGCUGUCGUCAGCUCGUGUCGUGAGAUGUUGGGUUAAGUCCCGCAACGAGCGCAACCCUUAUCAUUAGUUGCUACGCAAGGGCACUCUAAGUGAGACUGCCGGUGACAAACCGGAGGAAGGUGGGGAUGACGUCAAGUCCUCAUGGCCCUUAUGGGUAGGGCUUCACACGUCAUACAAUGGUCGGUACAGAGGGUUGCCAAGCCGCGAGGUGGAGCCAAUCCCAGAAAGCCGAUCGUAGUCCGGAUUGUUCUCUGCAACUCGAGAGCAUGAAGUCGGAAUCGCUAGUAAUCGCGGAUCAGCAUGUCGCGGUGAAUACGUUCCCGGGUCUU
rnacentral:rRNA from 1 species